rnacentral:lncRNA from 1 species
AAAAAAAAAAAAAAAGAAAAACACAUAAAACCCACACAAUUACAUAAAAUGUGGUCAGUCAGUUAACAAUAGUAAAAUAAAGCUAUAGUUUAGUAAUUAAGAAGUUUUAUCAAAGGAGUUCAAAAUUUUAGAAUGCCUCUAUGUAUAAUGUGGCAAUUCAUAUAAAUAAGAGGACAAAAUGUCAGUAAAAUAAAUGUUUUCCUAAUGAUUAAAAACUUCAAUGUUUAGGAAAUCAAAGUUAGUCUAUGAAUAAUAAACAAAAUAACCAUAAUGACCUCACAUGAGAUGUGUUCAUUUAGUUCUCUAAUAAUGGAAGUUAUAUUUACAAUAUUUUGAGUAGAUUAGGCCAGACCACAGGUCUCAAAAAUUAACUCCCCACAUCAUUUUGCUUUUAUUAUGAUUAUAUCAACAUAAAAAUUUUAGUAAUCCAUAUGACCCUGAUGUUUUGAAUUUUAUUAUGGAAAGAGACAGUGGCUACCUACUUUGUUAUGCAUUGCAAAAUACCUUAGAAUAUAUCACAUGUUUGAACUAUGGAAAUGAAAUCCAAAUUCAGUUACUCUUCAGGCACANNNNNNNNNNNNNNNNNNNNNNNNNNNNNNNNNNNNNNNNNNNNAUUAAACACAGAGGUUUUUCCUCCAGGCACUGUUUCCUCAGUGGUGCUCCAUCAAGUGAAAUUCUUUUCAAAAACGGCAUCUAUAAUCAAGUUUGGAAAAUUCUGAACUUAGGCAUUACCCAAACAGACUGUAAUUUGGACUAAAAUUUGUCCAAAGCCAAGUGGUGUUUUAUGAGUACAUUAAUAAUGAUGAAUGACGACUUCCCUGGUGGAGUGGUGGGUAAUAAUCUACCUGCCAAUGCAGGGGACAUGAGUCUGGGAAGAUUCCACAUGCUGAGCAUAAAUGUAUAUAUAUAUAAAUGCCAUAUAUAACAUAAAUGCCAGGAGCAUAAAUGUCUUCAUGUUGCUUAGGACACUACCCGUUCAGCAACAUGCCAAAGAUGGAUUUCUGGAGUAACGGCAACAGCAUCCAUGACACUAUGAGAACUGGAACAGUCACCAAAGAUACAAAUGCCUGGUCACUUUGCUGGUAUUAUUACUAUUGGCACAACUGUGUGACUACAUGGUGUACUAGUUUCACAAAGGCAAUAAAUGCAGCAUCUGAAUGUCUGCCAAUCUUGGCACACACUUCUCUCCACAUACCCAUUUUCAAUCCUAUCAGGAAACUACUCCUACAAGAAAAUGUGAAAAAAAAGAAAAAGGUAAAAAGUCAGUGUCAAGUGAAGGAAAAUAAAAGUUUUUAGCAGUGGUCACUAAUAUACUGGAAACAAAAAUCAAGCUGUAAAAUUAAAACAAUUAUGAGUUAUAUGUGUUUUUAUUUUCAGAUUUCUAGGAAUUUGAGAGAAUUCCCAGGAAUGUAUAAAGGGGAUGUCUGCAUAGGCAAAUAAUACACACAUUUUUUUUUAAACAAACUUCGAUUCUC